rnacentral:rRNA from 1 species
UCGAGAAUUUUUCACAAUGGGGGAAACCCUGAUGGAGCGACGCCGCGUGGAGGAUGAAGGCCCUUGGGUUGUAAACUCCUGUCAUAAGGGAACAAGAAAGUGAUAGUACCUUAAGAGGAAGAGACGGCUAACUCUGUGCCAGCAGCCGCGGUAAUACAGAGGUCUCAAGCGUUGUUCGGAUUCAUUGGGCGUAAAGGGUGCGCAGGCUGUGUGGUAAGUCAGGUGUGAAAUUAAGAGGCUCAACCUCUUAACUGCACUUGAUACUGCCACGCUAGAGGACUGUAGAGGAGAUUGGAAUUCACGGUGUAGCAGUGAAAUGCGUAGAUAUCGUGAGGAAGACCAGUGGCGAAAGCGAAUCUCUGGGCAGUUCCUGACGCUCAUGCACGAAGGCUAGGGGAGC